ACAAUAUCUUUUAAAGUCUACUCAAUUCUUCUUGCUUGGUCUUUAAUUUAUUGAUUUCAUGCAAUUCUUCAACUAUCAUCACAUAUUAAACAAAAUAAAAAAGGAUUGCAAAACACCUUGUAAUUGGUAUACACUAGACCCUAGUGUAGGUAGGGAUACCUACACCCCCCUCUAAACGAUGCGUUUAUCAUGUUACCCACAUCCCAUAACCCACUAACCUACUGUAACUACCUACCAUUCUCUCUAAAACCUUCUUCUUCAUUUCUCUAGACUUUCUCUCUCAUCAAAACUAGAAAAUAUGAACCAAAAUUGCUUCAAAAUACUACAAAAUUGCUUCAAAAUACUACGAAAUUGCUUCAAAAUAUUGCUAAAUUCCUUCAAAUGUCUACAUUUGCGAAGAAAUUCAACAAUCGCAACAACAUUCACAGAAAGAAACCGAAAAAUAUAUUUCGAAUUAGAGAGAUAAAGAGAAUGAUGAUUCAGAGAAGAAUCAUGUUCGUUGAACAUAACAAGGCAUAGUCUGAAGAAACGUGAACCAAAUUAGGAAGCAAGGAUGCGGAACUGAUGUUAUUUGAAGAAAAACACUAAAUAUAGGUUAAAUCGAAGAUAAGCAAGGAAGUUUGCAAAUGAAUAGUACAUGUUAUAUGUUCAUUUAUGAAAGUGUAUAUGUUCAUUAAUGAAUGUGUAUAUGAUCAUAUCUUAAACUUCCUCCAUUUCUUUUUACUUGCAACACAGCCUUGUGGCACGUGUUUUGAGGUCGGGUUUAUAUAAUGUAAACGGAUAAAUUAUUCAUUAUAAUUUUUACAAAUGAUACUUAACCCUAUUCUAA